GAUGAACGCUGGCGGCGUGCCUAAUACAUGCAAGUCGAGCGAACAGACGAGGAGCUUGCUCCUCUGACGUUAGCGGCGGACGGGUGAGUAACACGUGGAUAACCUACCUAUAAGACUGGGAUAAAUUCGGGAAACCGGAGCUAAUACCGGAUAAUAUAUUGAACCGCAUGGUUCAAUAGUGAAAGACGGUUUUGCUGUCACUUAUAGAUGGAUCCGCGCCGCAUUAGCUAGUUGGUAAGGUAACGGCUUACCAAGGCAACGAUGCGUAGCCGACCUGAGAGGGUGAUGGGCCACACUGGAACUGAGACACGGUCCAGACUCCUACGGGAGGCAGCAGUAGGGAAUCUUCCGCAAUGGGCGAAAGCCUGACGGAGCAACGCCGCGUGAGUGAUGAAGGUCUUCGGAUCGUAAAACUCUGUUAUUAGGGAAGAACAAAUGUGUAAGUAACUAUGCACGUCUUGACGGUACCUAAUCAGAAAGCCACGGCUAACUACGUG
rnacentral:rRNA from 1 species